GGUUGGACACAGUCCAUGAUGAGGGAACUGAGGUCCAGAGACGAGAAGUGACUUGCCCAGCGUCACAGACCAGGCAAGUUUGUGGAGCUGGGAUUAGAACCCAGGUUCUUCUGACUUCCAGGAGAAAGAAGCUGAGAAGUUGGAAGGAUUAGGAUAUGGUAGAGGCCAGAACCGCUGGCAGACUCCUAGAAGGGUGUCCAGGUGAUGGACCAGGAACCCAUGUGUCAAUCACUGUUUCAAGUACUGGGGUAGAUACAAGUUUAUCAGGCUAGAUAAAGUCCCUGUUCCUCAGGGGCCUCAAAGUCUAGAGAGAAGACAGAACAGGAAUUGAAACCCUAUUUUGCAAUUGGUGAUUGCAAUUGUACUGGCACCACUGCCAGUGAGGUUUUCCCCUAUAGAGAAUGAAUGGGUAACCACUAAAGCAGAAGUCAGGUAACAGUGUAGCAGGGAAAUUGGGAGGGGCUAGGAGACAUGGGAAACCCACUGGGGCUGGAACUGGGAGACUCAGGGCCCCUGAAACAAUUAACUGCGGCUCGAGCAAGGCAGGGAAGGUCCAGAAACUGGCUUUCUGUCAACUGACUGAAGCACCAGGAAAUGUGCCAAUGUGCAAGAAAUACCACGUUCCUCAAAAGGCUGGAGCCCCAGGUGCCGGGGAAGCUGUCUGCGGGAGCGAGCCUAACGCCGACGCCGGGGAGGCUGAGCCUUGGAGGCCGAGCCCCUGGAGGCGGAGCCCGUGGAGGCCGAGCCCGUGGAGGCCGAGCCCGUGGAGGCCGAGCCCGUGGAGGCCGAGCCCGUGAAGGCCGGGCGGGCUGAGCCCGGGGAGGUCGAGCCCGUGGUCGCUGAGCCCGGGGAGGCCGGGCGGGUUGAGCCCGUGGAAGCUGAGCCCGUGGAAGCUGAGCCCGUGGAAGCUGAGCCCGUGGAGGCCGGGCGGGCUGAGCCCGGGGAGGUCGAGCCCUUGGAGGCCGGGCAGGCUUAGCUGGUGGAAGCUUAGCCCGCGGAGGCCGAGCUCGGUCCGUCGGCGGUGAAGCCCGGGGUCCUCGCAGUUGUGGCGCAGCCUCGCCCCGGGCCCCGCCCCCGCCCCCAGACUGCGGCCGAGUUUCCCCAGCCGAGACGGCUCGGAGCUGCCCCUCGCCCCCUCCCCCUGCCCCACCGCACCUCCCCCACCCCCUUACCCCCCCCCCCACCCCCUUUCUCCCCCCGCC
rnacentral:lncRNA from 1 species